UGGAGACCUUCCCGAUCCAAAUCCUCGUCGAUUCGGCUUGGAUCUCGUUCCUCUCGCACGGAGAUUACUCUAUAAAUACUCCCCACGUCCGUCUCUGCCGAUUUUUUUUUGCAAAAUCCCUCUCACGUGCCCUAGAACGCCGUAGUCAUCUCGCCGGAGUUCCGCUGCCAGGAGCACUUGCGCCGCCCCUGAAGCUCUUUCAUCAGUUGAUUCUGUCACUCCAAAACAACAACGAGUUGAGCUUACGAGCAAAGUACGGCUCGCUGGAAGUUCGUCCGUGGAACCACCGGGCGCAGCAGCAAAGGAGCAAGCUCCAUCGUCCUCGAGGUCAACUAAUUCAUCUCCAUCGCGCUCUGCACACGCCGGGCAUAUCUACGUAGCCGGGGAUUUCCCGUAGCCGUCGCCACCGUCCUCCGGAGCCUCGCCGCGCGCCGUCUUCUCCAACUCCGGUGACACCCGCCCUCUGUUUUCCGCCUAGCAGCAAACACCAUCUGGCCACUCACGUCGAACCACGUGGCAACGCCACAGCAGCCGCCGCAGUUCUUCCCAGAACGCUAUUAUGAUUGUCCGGAUUGUGAAGCGGAUCGGAAUUAAUCGUUAGAAUACUUCAACAGCAUUCAAGGCAAGUUUGCACAUUUGAUUUUGCUCAUCCUAUAUUCUGCUAUGCAUGUGUGGUUUUUGAUAUGUAUGUUCUCUGUUGUCAUAUUCUGGUAUUGAUUGUAUUAUGUGAUGGUUGAUCAACUUGCUAUGGUAGACGUUGGAUGUGUCGAGUGAUCCAUGAAAGUGGUGAGUGUUUAUAGCCGUAGGCUCGGGAUUAUUAACCAGGUGAAUGCGUCACUGGCAGAGCGCUCUAUUGUCCCUAGAGAAUGCGCCAUUGACAGAGCGCACUUGAGGCGAGGUAUAGUUUUUGGAACAUAAAUCAGGUGAAUGCGUCCUUGGCAGAGCGCUCUAUUGUUCCUAGAGAAUGCGCCACUGACAGAGCGCACUUGAGAGACUUCUGAAGUUCUUAUCGUGUUUACUUAGAAUCUUUGGGGUUAUCUUGGGUGAAUAAAUUAGAGACGGUUGUGAGUUCAGGUAGUGGCGGUAGGUGAAGACAUUCUUCUCCAAACUAACUUGUGUUUUGUUUGUCAUACAUUUCUUUGUGGAUGUAUGUUUACUAUAUCAUAUUGUGUGAUUUGUCAAUACAAUCAAUGUAUUGACCCUUUGUGGCUGCAACUUAUCAUGUUGCAGAAUUUUCAGAUGAUCAGUGAGAUACAGUAGGGUCGCGAGUCUUCACUCAACAUGUUCUCAAGUGGGCAUUGAUGGACUCAUCGUCUAUUAUGCUACAUUUCCGUUGUUGUUAUUGAAUAAAGCUAGCUAUGUGCUAUUCCGUUUGUAAUACUUUAUGAAUUAUGGAUCAUACGUUAUAGUAAAUGAUGCACUUGUUAUUUGAUAUUCAUAUGUACUGUGUGUGCUAGCGAGUCGAUCCAGGGACUAGCACAGUAAGUACAGAGACAUCGAAUCUUAUCAGGUUCGGGUCGUUACAGAUGGUGUCAGAGCAGUGUGUUGACUAUAGGUCGUGACCUUAGAAAAUGGAUUAGAAAAGCCAUAGGAGUGAAAAACUUACUUUACAACUUAUUGUCUACUUGUUAGUUCAUACUCUUGUACUCAUAUCUUUUCUUUUCAAAGUAUAGACGACCCCUGGUAUUAUUAUUAGUGUCAUUUAAGGAGUUUUAGUUGACAAACCACCAUUACUAAAUUGUGCCUGAUAAACGAUUUGCGGUAGUAUGAUGAGAUCAUAUCUCUUGUGGAUAUGACCUUACUUGUAGGUUUUGCUUGUGUGGUGUGAAUUGUGUGAAUUUAGUGUUUGUUUUUUGUUGUUGGAGUUUUUAUUGCUAGCAUGAGUAUAUGGGUAGUGUUUUCCCCUUAGGUUUUUAUUUUGUCUAUAUCCUAAGACAUGCUGCAACCCAGUGAUGAGUUCAAGUUUUAGCACAUGCGCCAAGAUCUGACAAGAAGCAAGCACAAUCUUGCUGAAGGAAGAAACCUGCAGGAAGCUAUAGUUCAUUAGUAUAUGUUUUGCCCUGGAGGAAGCUAUAGUUCAUUAGUAUAUGUUUUGCAGUAGCUGACAUAAACCUAAUAGUUCACAGGAACGAUAGUUGUUUUGUUUGGCAUGCAGAAUGGAUGGAUUAAUCCGAACCAGUUCGUGAACAAGAGAAAUUUCUACAAUGCUUGUGAGAAUGUCCGAGCGUUAGAAUACGAGAUUUUCUAAACCAUAUACAAGGAACCAUUCUUGAUGACCAUCAUGAGAGCAUCGAUAUUUAGUAUUGGUGCAAGACCUGUGAGCCAUGAAGUUUUCAGUUUACAAAAGACUGCUCUUUUGAUAAGGGAUCCAGAAUUUCAAAGGAGUGUAAGGCAUAUGUCUGAAGGAUCUCCUCGAAGGAGUAAGAUUUUUGAAGACCGAUGACUCUUAUUCUAAGGGUGGUAGUACUCCACACUCUCGGACGAACAAUGGAUAUUCAAGGAGACCCCAACCCUAGUCUUUUCUUUCUAGCUUUUUCGAAUCUCGAGGAUGAGAUUCAUUUUAAGGGUGGUAGAUUUGUAACAUUCCAAAUUUUCAAAAAUUGGAAUGUUAAUAGGAUCAUUACUUUUUAUCAUGAUUUAUG